CCACAUAUAAGAAGUUUGUGAAGGCAGCAUUAGCAAUGAACCCUAGCGACCAUUAUAUCCUAAAGGUAACGUUAACGUGCACAACAACAUCUAUAAUUAAUACAACCCUGAGGAGCACUCUCACAGUCCCAGGUUAGUAUUCACAUGAGUCUAUAGUAUUUUAGCAUUGUCACAGUCCCAGGUUAGUAUUCACAUGAGUCUACAGUAUUUUAGCAUUGUCACAGUCCCAGGUUAGUAUUCACAUGAGUCUACAGUAUUUUAGCACUGUCACAGUCCCAGGUUAGUAUUCACAUGAGUCUACAGUAUUUUAGCAUUGUCACAGUCCCAGGUUAGUAUUCACAUGAGUCUACAGUAUUUUAGCAUUGUCACAGUCCCAGGUUAGUAUUCACAUGAGUCUACAGUAUUUUAGCAUUGUCACAGUCCCAGGUUAGUAUUCACAUGAGUCUACAGUAUUUUAGCAUUGUCACAGUCCCAGGUUAGUAUUCACAUGAGUCUACAGUAUUUUAGCAUUGUCACAGUCCCAGGUUAGUAUUCACAUGAGUCUACAGUAUUUUAGCAUUGUCACAGUCCCAGGUUAGUAUUCACAUGAGUCUACAGUAUUUUAGCAUUUGCACAGUCUUAAGUUCCACAAGUCCAGUUUAGUAUUGGCACAGUC